rnacentral:ncRNA from 1 species
AACAAACCGUUGAGAAAGACGAGUAGAUUAUUUUACGACAUUCCAGAGAGUGGCAGGUGGUGAGAUUGCCAUAUGAAGUGAAUAGUUGAAUGGACUUUUGAGGGCUGCCUGAAAUCUUUUUAUGGGAGAGUAUGGCGUGUCGGGAACCGAACCCGUUAUCAAUCAGGAAUGUAUGUUAGUACAUGAGAAAGUGGACUUAGUGUCAAUUUGAGUGGUACCGCGAUAAUAUGAAUUUAUUACCGCCUCAAAC